CUGAGAUUACAGGUAUGCACCACUGUGCCCAGCAAAUUUUUGUAUUUUUAGUAGCAACGGGGUUUCACCAUGUUGGCCACGCUGAUCUCCCAACUCCUGACCUCAGGUGAUCCACUCACCUCAGCCUCCCAAAGUGCUGGGAUUACAGGCGUGAGAUACUGUGCCCAGCAAUAAUUUUUUAAAUAAACAAAAGUAGGUUAGAAACGUACCUCCUACAUCAAAAAUCCACAUCUAAUUCUGCCAAAAAAAGGAAUGAAAUUCUGACAUAUGCUACAAUAUGGCUGAGCCUUUGAAACAUCAUGUGUAGUGAAAUAUGCCAGACACAAGUGGACAAACACUAUGUCAUUAUGUCCUUCCACCCACGUGAGGUCCCCACAAACACUGUGUCAUUCCACCCGCGUGAGGUCCCUACACUGUGUCACUCCACCCACGUGAGGUCCCUACACUGUGUCAUUCCACCUGCCUGAGGUCCCUACACUGUGUCACUCCACCCGCGUGAGGUCCCUACACUGUGUCAUUCCACCUGUGUGAGGUCCCUACACUGUGUCAUUCCACCCACGUCAGGUCCCUACAAACACUGUGUCAUUCCACCCGCGUGAGGUCCCUAUACUGUGUCAUUCCACCCACGUCAGGUCCCUACAAACACUGUGUCAUUCCACCCACGUGAGGUCCCUACACUGUGUAAUUCCACCCGCGUGAGGUCCCUACAAACACUGUCAUUCCACCCGUGUGAGAUCCCUACAAACACUGUGUCAUUCCACCCGCCUGAGGUCCCUACACUGUGUCAUCCCACCCGACUGAGGUCCCUACAAACACUGUGUCAUUCCACCCGCCUGAGGACCCUACAAACACUGUGUCAUUCCACCCGUGUGAGGUCCCUACAAACACUGUGUCAUUCCACCCGCCUGAGGUCCCUACACUGCGUCAUCCCACCUGAAUGAGGUCCCUACAAACACUGUGUCAUUCCACCCACCUGAGGUCCCUACAAACACUGUCACUCCACCCGCCUGAGGUCCCUACACUGUGUCAUUCCACCCACGUGAGGUCCCUACACUCUGUCAUUCCACCCACGUGAGGUCCCUACGAACACUGUGUCAUUCCACCGGCCUGAGGUCCCUAUAAACACUGUCAUUCCACCCGCGUGAGGUCCCUACACUGUCAUUCCACCCGCCUGAGGUCCCUACACUGUGUCAUUCCGCCCGCCUGAGGUCGCUACAAGCACUGUGUCAUUCCACCCACGUGAGAUCCCUACACUGUGUCAUUCCACCCGCCUGAGGUCCCUACACUGUCAUUCCAGCCGCCUGACGUCCCUACAAACACUGUGUCACUCCACCCGCCUGAGGUCCCUACACUGUGUCAUCCCGCUCGCCUGAGGUCCCUACAAACACUGUGUCAUUCCACCCGCCUGAGGUCCCUACAAACACUGUGUCAUUCCACCCGCCUGAGGUCCCUACACUGUGUCAUUCCAUCCGCCUGAGGUCCCUACAAACGCUGUGCCAUUCCACCCAUGUGAGGUCCCUACACUGUGUCAUUCCACCCGCCUGAGGUCCCUACACUGUGUCAUUCCACCCCCGUGAGGUCCCCACACUGUGUCAUUCCACCCGCGUGAGGUCCCUACAAACACUGUGUCAUUCCACCCGUGUGAGGUCCCUACAAACACUGUGUCAUUCCACCCGCCUGAGGUCCCUACAAACACUGUCAUUCCACCCGCGUGAGGUCCCUACACUGUGUCAUCCUACCCGCCUGAGGUCCCUACAAACACUGUGUCAUUCCACCUGCCUGAGGUCCCUACAAACACUGUCACUCCACCCGCGUUAGGUCCCUACAAACACUGUGUCAUUCCACCCACGUGAGAUCCCUACACUGUGUCAUUCCACCGGCCUGAGGUCCCUACAAACACUGUCAUUCCACCCGCCUGAGGUCCCUACAAACACUGUGUCACUCCACCCGUGUGAGGUCCCUAAAAACACUGUGUCAUUCCACCCAUGUGAGAUCCCUACAUUGUGUCAUUCCACCCGCCUGAGGUCCCUACAAACACUGUGUCAUUCCACCCGCCUGAGGUCCCUACAAACACUGUGUCAUUCCACCCACGUGAGAUCCCUACACCGUGUCAUUCCACCCGCCUGAGGUCCCUACAAACACUGUGUCAUUCCACCUGCCUGAGGUCCCUACAAACACUGUGUCAUUCCACCUGCCUGAGGUCCCUACAAACGCUGUGCCAUUCCACCCACGUGAGGUCCCUACACUGUGUCAUUCCAUCCGCCUGAGGUCCCUACAAACACUGACAUUCCACCCGCCUGAGGUCCCUACAAACACUGUGUCACUCCACCCGCCUGAGGUCCCUACAAACACUGUGUCAUCCCACCCGCCUGAGGUCCCUACACUGUGUCAUUCCACCCACGUGAGGUCCCUGCAAACACUGUGUCAUUCCACCCGUGUGAGGUCCCUACAAACACUGUGUCAUUCCACCCGCCUGAGGUCCCUACACUGUGUCAUUCCACCCACGUGAGGUCCCUGCAAACACUGUGUCAUUCCACCCGUGUGAGGUCCCUACAAACACUGUGUCAUUCCACCCGCCUGAGGUCCCUACACUGUGUCAUUCCACCCACGUGAGGUCCCUACACUGUGUCAUUCCACCCGCCUGAGGUCCCUAUACUGUGUCAUUCCACCCACGUGAGGUCCCUACACUGUGUCAUUCCACCCGCCUGAGGUCCCUACACUGUCAUUCCACCCACAUGAGGUCCCUACACUGUGUCAUUCCACCCGCCUGAGGUCCCUACACUGUGUCAUUCCACCCACGUGAGGUCCCUACAAACACUGUCAUUCCACCCGCCUGAGGUCCCUACAAACACUGUGUCAUUCCACCCGCCUGAGGUCCCUACAAACACUGUGUCAUUCCAUCCGUGUGAGGUCCCUACAAACACUGUCAUUCCACCCGCCUGAGGUCCCUACAAACACUGUCAUUCCACCCGACUGAGGUCCCUACAAACACUGUCAUUCCACCCGACUGAGGUCCCUACACUGUGUCAUUCCACCUGCGUGAGGUCCCUACACUGUGUCAUCCCACCCGCCUGAGGUCCCUACACUGUGUCAUUCCACCUGCCUGAGGUCCCUACAAACACUGUGUCAUUCCACCCGCCUGAGGUCCCUACAAACACUGUGUCAUUCCACCCGCCUGAGGUCCCUACACUGUGUCAUUCCACCCACCUGAGGUCCCUACAAACGCUGUGUCAUUCCACCCGCCUGAGGUCCCUACACUGUGUCAUUCCACCCACGUGAGGUCCCUGCAAACACUGUGUCAUUCCACCCGUGUGAGGUCCCUACAAACACUGUGUCAUUCCACCCGCCUGAGGUCCCUACACUGUGUCAUUCCACCCACGUGAGGUCCCUACACUGUGUCAUUCCACCCACCUGAGGUCCCUACACUGUGUCAUUCCACCCACCUGAGGUCCCUACAAACGCUGUGUCAUUCCACCCGCCUGAGGUCCCUACAAACGUUGUGUCAUUCCACCUGCGUGAGGUCCCUACAAACACUGUCAUUCCACCCGCCUGAGGUCCCUACAAACACUGUCAUUCCACCCGACUGAGGUCCCUACAAACACUGUGUCAUUCCACCUGCGUGAGGUCCCUACACUGUGUCAUUCCACCCGCCUGAGGUCCCUACACUGUGUCAUUCCGCCUGCCUGAGGUCCCUACAAACACUAUGUCAUUCCACCUGCCUGAGGUCCCUACAAACACUGUGUCAUUCCACCCGCCUGAGGUCCCUACAAACGCUGUGUCAUUCCACCCGCCUGAGGUCCCUAGACUGGGCAAAUUCAGAGACAGAAAGUAGAAUGGUGGUCGCCAGGGGCCGGGGAAGGGGAGAAGGGGAGUUAUUGUUUAAUAGGACAAAGUUGUGUUGGUAAUGAGGAAGUUGUUUUGGGAACAGGUAGUGGUGAUAGCUACACAACACUGUAAGUGCAUUUACCACCACGCAACUGUACACUUAUGAACGGCUAAAAUGAUAAAUAUUAUGCCAUGUAUAUUUUACCACAAUUAAAAAAAAUUCCUAGACCUCAAAAAAAAAAAAAAAAUCCCAAUCUAUGCCAACCUGGGUGUCACAUUUCUCUCUGUAGGUCAAGUGAAACAUGGCCCAAACCACCCUAAGUUGCUGACAUAUAGAUGCGAACUCCACAGAGCCCGCCUCUGGGUGCUGUGUGUGCGCCUCCACCACAGCCUGUCCUGCGGGGAACACGGAGGUUAUCAGGGCGCGUGGCCAGAGAAAGGUUCCAUCUACUUUUUAAAUAACCCAGCAGCAGACAUUUAAUGGAUUUCUAUGGUUACUAUUUUACCUACGACAUAUUUGACUGUGAUCAGUACUUUAGGGCGUACACAGAAAGCCGUAUGCUGAUACCUUCAUAAUCCAAAUAGAUUACGCCUUUUACUACUGAAUUCUUUAAUGAACAGUAAGCAAAUUGAGAAUGGUUAAAGUAAAAACUUUCUCAUUCUCUCCAUUUUAAGAUCACUAUUACACACCUGAACUUAACCGGGGCUCUAUGGCAGAGGAGAUUAAUAAUUUUGGUUAAUACUACUUCAACGAUUAUCUAAUAUUUCAGAUGCCUUUAACAACAUCUAUCUGUUACCAUAAACGAAGUCAACAUCUAAGAAAUGUGACCUGUGACACUGAACAGAUCUCUAGGGUCUGACAAAGUUGCAGGGAGCUGGAGAAGCGCGGCCACGGCAGAGCUGCAAUUCCCCAUCGGCCUCUGUCUGAUAAAAGGCAACCCAUGGAUCUAUUUGGAUAAACACUCAAGAGCAGGGACAGGCUAUGAACCAAUUUCACAGACAGUGCCUCCAGUGAGGAAGGAGUGCGGGCAACGGAGUUGGGGAGUUAAAACGGAGAUGGACAGCCUCAACAUGACCGUAGCCUUCAUCUCUUCAAAAACCCAAAACAAGAUGGACCGUUGUUAAGUGUGGAGUAUGUGGGUGUUUAUUUAUUUUAUGCAAAUAAUACAUAAUUAUUUAUUCUAAAAGCAACCUAUCCCAAUGUGAGGUGGCAAACAACGGAGCCUCCCGUACACAGGUUACUGCAAAGGACGGGAGCAAAGCUGAGACGCAGCCUUCAAUGCCUACGAAAGCCAGGAACGUUUACAAACGCACUGGUACACGUAAGGCACGAAUCCCCCCUUUUCAAUCAUUAUUACUAGCUGAGUUUUUGUUUUGCUUUCUUUUAAAUCUAGUUAUGUACUAGAGCUUUUGUAAUGAAUACUCUUUUAGGGAUACUACUUCGCCAUUCUAGAUUCUGGAACAGAACUAUUGAAAUUAAAAAAAAAAAAUUUAAGGUAUUUUCAAACAUGACAAAAUGGCAGCCUAAAACCAUUAAAAUUCCAGAAAACCGGAGCACAACAGAAGGUGGGGUGCUAAGCAGUGCUGAGUCACUAUUAGGGGUGCACGGAGAGAAAAACCUUCCUCCUUCGAGUUGCUAGAACUCCCUCUUUACCUUUUCUUAAGGGCACUUUUCUCCUUAUACCUACAAACAAUGCAUUCUUGGUGUGGAACAUAAAAUAAUACAGAAAUGUGCAGAAUAAAAGCCAAAGUCUCUGUUCAGUGAGGCGUGACCACCCUUUCCCCACAGGCACCCCCGAUGUCACCCCUGGAUAUCUGCUUUCCAGAGCAGCAUUUACAACCACACUCAGCUUCGCCUGGGGUCACCGUUCUUCUGCAAAAGCUGCUGUUUUCACCCAAUGUGUCACAGACUGCUCUCCGAGGGGCCCAGAACACUCUUACUCCACAAAGUGUGUGUUCUAACACAUGUAACCGCCUCACUACUUUUAGGCAUUUAGUGUUUUCAACGUUGUAUCACUGCAGUGCACAUCUUUCUGAAAUGCUGGCCUAUUUCCUGUAGGAUUCCUACAAGUGGAACCUUGGGGUCCUAACCCUUGUGUUAAGUUUGAGAGAGAAAUGUCAAAUUACCCUCCAAAAAAUGAGUGUACAGACACUCCUUCCAGAAAUGACUAGGAAAAAUGGAACAUUAUUAUUGCUUUAAUUAGAAUGUCUUUGCUUAUUUGAGACAGGGUCCACUCUGUUCCCAGGCUGGAAUGCAGUGGUGUGAUCACAGCUCACAGCAGCCUUGACCUCCUGGGCUCAAGGGAUCCUCCUGCCUUGGCCUCCCAAAGUGCUGGGAUUACAGGUGUGAGGCCGGUCAUAUCUUUGCUCAUUAAUACCAUUUCUAUGAUGAUUAAUGUUAACUCUUUUACUCACCACCCACUUAAAACAAACCAGCCAUUAGAUGCGGUUAAACAUGCAGACCUAUUGUCUGUGUUUUUUUCACUCAAAUGUUGCUAAUUAUCAGCAAACCUGCUGCCCCUUUCAGGCAGGUAUGGUGACUCACCCAAGAAUUC
rnacentral:lncRNA from 10 species